rnacentral:tRNA from 1 species
UAGAAAGUAAUAUAAAGGAAGUAUGAAGGGUUUUGAUCUCUUCUGUGCAGGUUCGAUUCCUGUUUUUCUAA